rnacentral:rRNA from 1 species
CCUACGGGGGGCAGCAGUGGGGAAUAUUGCACAAUGGGGGAAACCCUGAUGCAGCGACGCCGCGUGAGUGAGGAAGUAUUUCGGUAUGUAAAGCUCUAUCAGCAGGGAAGAAAAUGACGGUACUUGACUAAGAACCCCGGGUUAACGACGGCCCACCAGCGGCGGUAAUACGUGGGGGGCAGGCGUUAUCCGGAUUUACGGGGUGUAAAGGGAGCGUAGACGGUUAAUCAAGUCAGAAGUGAAAACCCAGGGCUCAACCUUGGGACUGCUUUUGAAACUGAGUAGCUAGAGUGCAGGAGAGGUAAGCGGAAUUCCUAGUGUAGCGGUGAAAUGCGUAGAUAUUAGGAGGAACACCAGUGGCGAAGGCGGCUUACUGGACUGUAACUGACGUUGAGGCUCGAAAGCGUGGGGAGCAAACAGGAUUAGAUACCCGGGUAGUC